rnacentral:rRNA from 1 species
UACGGAGGGUGCAAGCGUUAAUCGGAAUUACUGGGCGUAAAGCGCACGCAGGUGGCUAAGUCAGUCGAUUGUGAAAGCCCUGGGCUUAACCUGGGAAUUGCAGUCGAUACUACUUAGCUAGAGUAUGGGAGAGGGCAGUGGAAUUCCCGGUGUAGCGGUGAAAUGCGUAGAUAUCGGAAGGAACAUCAGUGGCGAAAGCGACUUCCUGGACCAGUACCGACGUUCAGGCACGAAAGCGUGGGGAGCAAACAGG